rnacentral:rRNA from 1 species
CGUGGAGGACGACGGCCCUACGGGUUGUAAACUCCUUUUAUAAGGGGAUAAAGUUGGCCAUGUAUGGCCAUUUGCAGGUACCUUAUGAAUAAGCAUCGGCUAAUUCCGUGCCAGCAGCCGCGGUAAUACGGAAGAUGCGAGCGUUAUCCGGAUUUAUUGGGUUUAAAGGGAGCGUAGGCGGGCAGUCAAGUCAGCGGUCAAAUGGCGCGGCUCAACCGCGUUCCGCCGUUGAAACUGGCAGCCUUGAGUAUGCACAGGGUACAUGGAAUUCGUGGUGUAGCGGUGAAAUGCUUAGAUAUCACGAGGAACUCCGAUCGCGCAGGCAUUGUACCGGGGCAUUACUGACGCUGAGGCUCGAAGGUGCGGGUAUCAAACAGGAUUAGAUACCCUGGUAGUCCGCACAGUAAACGAUGAAUGCCCGCUGUCGGCGACAUAGUGUCGGCGGCCAAGCGAAAGCGUUAAGUAUUCCACCUGGGGAGUACGCCGGCAACGGUGAAACUCAAAGGAAUUGACGGGGGCCCGCACAAGCGGAGGAACAUGUGGUUUAAUUCGAUGAUACGCGAGGAACCUUACCCGGGCUUGAAUCGCAGGUGCAUGGGCCGGAGACGGCCCUUUCCUUCGGGACUCCUGCGAAGGUGCUGCAUGGUUGUCGUCAGCUCGUGCCGUGAGGUGUCGGCUUAAGUGCCAUAACGAGCGCAACCCCCCUCCCCAGUUGCCACCGGGUAAUGCCGGGCACUUUGGGGACACUGCCACCGCAAGGUGCGAGGAAGGUGGGGAUGACGUCAAAUCAGCACGGCCC